rnacentral:rRNA from 1 species
AGCUGUUAUACGCGAAUGAGAAAAUGAAGCCCAACUACGAAAGUGGCUUUAAACCCCUGACCCCACGAAAGCUACGACACAAACUGGGAUUAGAUACCCCACUAUGCCUAGCCCUAAACAACGAUGACACAACACCUAGUUAUCCGCCCGGGAACUACGAGCAACAGCUUAAAACCCAAAGGACUUGGCGGUGCUUUAGACCCACCUAGAGGAGCCUGUUCUAGAACCGAUAAUCCCCGUUGAACCUCACCUUUCCUUGCCUAAUCCGCCUAUAUACCGCCGUCGUCAGCUUACUCUGUGAGGAGUGCGAAGUAAGCAUAAUCGGUACAACCAAAAACGCCAGGUCGAGGUGUAGCGUAUGGAAAGGGAAGAAAUGGGCUACAUUCAUUAGUUAUAAUGAACACGGAUGAUAUCCUGAAACAAAUAUCUGAAGGAGGAUUUAGCAGUAAGAAGGGAGCAGAGUGCUCUUCUGAAGCCGGCUCUGAAGCGCGUACACACCGCCCGUCACUCUCCCCGAGCUAAAA